rnacentral:lncRNA from 1 species
UAGAACUUAACAGCGAAAUAAUUGCUUGACACGAUGGGCAUGGCAGUUAGUGGCAACAUAUAAUUUUCUAAAAUAGUGGUAGGUAUGGUAUUAAUUUUUUCAUAAUUCUACAUAAAUGUUUUUGGUGGUGCAUUCAAAAUAAGUAUUUGUCGCAUUUAAGGUCUAAUGAGUGGUUCAAAAAGCUUCGAUAAGUCGCGCUGGUUCUUUCUCUCGCAUAUUUUCCAUGAUAAUACUCUGUUGACCGUCAAGCAUCUUUUGCCAGUCCUUCCAAGAUUUAUUUUCAUUCUCCGAUUUCUCUGCAAGAUCGAAUACCAUCGGAUCUCGACAAAAUGAGUGAGGAGUCUUAUUUCUAUGUGCUUGUUUAUAUGUGGGUUCAUAUAUCUUUUUUCACGAAUUAAAACAAUUUGUUGGUUCAGGUUUCCUAUGAAAAACACUCCUUACGACUCCAAAAGUAGGGAUCCUUCGUGUCUUGAAGGGAUUCAAUUUAUAAACAUGUGGGUAAUUAAAAUUAAUAUUCACGCAGCAAAUUUUCUAUAUUCUUUUUUAUCUUUGUAGUUUUCUAGCCCUUGGGUUUCCCAGUUUUAAAUUAGUUUUUUUUUUCUAGCUAUUUAUGCCUUGAUGAGUGUGUUCUUAUUUGUAAUGAUUUCUCAAUUUAUAAUCUAUUUCUGUUUUUUUAGGUCAAGGUGAGUAGAGAAACUGAAUUUUUUUUUUAAAAAAAAAGUUCACGAAAAGCAAAAAUAAGGCAAAAUCAUUGUUCACCCCUUAUCUUUGGUUCUAGGUAAUGUUCUUUUUUCAGGUUCUUUUAACUCUUCAAUUUUUUGUAAACCUCCAAAAUUCUACCAAAAAUAGAACACACUCCUUAUUUUGUACAUUAUUACACUUUUUUUAAAACGAGUCACACUAAUUUAAUUUGUUGUAUUAGGCUGCUUAUUGGAUCUUUGGUAUCUAAUGAAUUGCUAUGACAAAUAGAUGUAAUUAAAAAUAUUUAUAAAGUAUUUUUUUUUUAAAUUUUAUAGUUUUUUCUGACCGUUUGGCUUCUUCUCCAACUCUAAUUAAAUUUCUUGAGUUUUGACCUCUUUAUUACACCCUUUACUACAAAGAAUAUGAAACCCUCGCUCAUGGCAAAAUCCACUAUUUGUUGUUGAACUCUGUGAAGUGCGUGAAAGUAGGAUACUCUAAAUUCGAGGGUCAAAGAGUUUUAUAAAACGUUCUUGGUGGAAAAAAACGUGAACAAAAAGUCCCACUAAAUCUACUAAAAUUGGAUCCACGAAUCUAACAAAAAGUAAAAUUGCUUGAUCUCUCUCAAUUCUAAAUCCUAUAAUGUGAAUUGAUGUCCCUGCAUAUUCCUCCUAACUUUUACAAAUGGAAUUAAAAUGCUUGAUUUAUUCUACCAAUUUUAUUUUAAAUUGAAUUUGGUUAUUCACGAGAUUAAUUUCUUUUAAAAGUAUGUUAUUUUUACUAUUUUUUUAAAGUUUGUGGCUAAAUUUAUUUCAUUUUAUAGUUCAAGGAAGUUGAAUAGGGCAACGAGAAGUUGACUAAAGCAUUGUUUUACCUUUUGUCGUCAUAAGUUUUUUAUUCACAUAUUUUUUUAAACAUUUAAAAUAUAUUGGAUCUCUCAAUAAUUCUGUCACGACUAUAACCAUGAACUAAGAGAUUCAUUAACGCUCAUGUGCUUUCAUAAUUAUUCAUCUCAAAGGCCUAGUUUGGGCAAAACCUUCAUAUUUAUUAUCGAUCACUACUUUGUUGCUCUGCAAGAUAGCCGUUGGAGAUCGGAGAAUCGGUAGCAAUUUAUAUUUCUAUGUGCUUCUUGUAUUUUUGUGUUCUCUUUUUAACAUCAUCAAAUAUGUACUACUUUGUGUGUGAUGCCUCUGCGAAACGUAAAUACAUUUAUUAUUAUUAUUAUUAUAUUUAAUUAUUAUAUAAUUAUUUUCUUUUAGUAUUCCAAUUCUACUUUCCCUCCUCGUUAUUAUGAUUUUUUAGAUUAAGUAGAUUUUAUUACUGUCUAAUUGUUUAGAAUCUUCUUAAGGGUUUUAGAAUUUUAGCUUUUUUUAAGAGAGUCUAUUAUAAAUAAAUAUAUAAUCUUAUUUUUAAAAGCAGAUUAUGAUUAAGAAUAAAGAGAAAAACGUUGAUUUUUUCUUUCCUCUCCGACCUGUGAUUAUGGUGGAAGCUAAAUUUCACUCUCUCAUUCUUCUGUGAUUUUGGCGGAAGCCAAACUUUCUCUUCUCCUUCUACAUUCUCGUUCGAUUUAUCUACUUUACUUGUUAUUUUUAAUAUUGAUUAAUCGUAGAACUUCAAUUUUACUGUUGUCCUACGUCAAAUUUAGUAUCACAGCCGAAUCGAUCCCCAUUGUCACAAAAAUCACAUUCUGUUUUCAAUCACCAUCAUACGCUGCCACCAACAGCCGUCUGCUUAUACCUGAGUUUCCACAGCACAACCGAACUCUGAAAAAUACGAUUUGACUUAAUCGAAUUUCGAUUUGGUUGGGUCUCGGAUCUUGUCU